UGUUACUAAAAGCGUGAAUUGCUAUGCAACUCAAAUGUGGAAACAAACAUCCGUCCAUGUAACUAGCUCGAUCAUAUAUACUUGACAGUCGUCUGUUUGUUUUAGGCAACCUGUCUGGUCUCAAAUAACGAACAAGUAAAAUCAAAGUGGAUAACACAAGAAGAAAUAAAGAUUUCAAUUAUAUUCAGCCAUAGAUAAAUCUAUAUACAAAAGUAACGAUCUAACAACGAGAUGAUUGCAGGGAAUUGUUACGCUUACAUCAGAAAAAAAUAGUAUAUAUUUCUCCAAAAUACUUACUCAGAGCCAAAAUAGCAAAAAAUAUACAAAAUCCACUAACUUUUUUGAAGAGCUAAACUCAUCUGCCUUUCGCGGAUAGAAUGAACGGAAUUGGUGGCGUUUAACGAUGAAAUUAUGAGGAAGAAAUGUUGACUGUUUCAAUUAAACUAUUUGAGAGAAUAGAGUUCUCCAGUUAGAAGUCACAAAUCACUGUUGUUGACCAAUGCAUCAUUUUUCUUUUUUCAAGAAUUGCGUAUCUCGGACUACAUUAUUCAACGUAUCUUCCCUUAAGGCAGUAAAAAAAGUUAACUGUUAAUGAAAUAUGUGAUCAGCAAUUAGUAUAUCGUAAUUUCAAUUCUCGAAACUCGAAGUACAAGUGAAAAAUGAUAGUACAAAUGAUAGAGCACUAAAAAAACUGAAUGUUCCAUUAGUAUAUCAGAAGCAAAA